rnacentral:rRNA from 1 species
AAAUGCCGCGUGUGUGAAGAAGGCYUGCGGGUUGUAAAGCACUUUCAGUGGGGAGAGAAAAGCUAGGGGUUAAUACCCUGAGUCUUGACGGUACCCUCAGAAGGAGCUCCGGCCUAAYUCCGUGCCACCAGCCGCGGUAAUUACGGAGGGGSCAAGCGUUAUUCGGAAUUACUGGGGGUAAAGCGGGCGUAGGGGGUUUUGUAAUUCGGAUGUGAAAACCCCGGGCUUAACCCUGGGAAUUGCMUUUGAAAMUGGCMAGCUUGAGUUUUGGAAAGGGAAGUGGAAUUUCCGGUGUAGCGGGUGAAAUGCGUAAAAAUYCGGAAGAACACCCGUGGCGAAGGCGGCUUCCUGGGCCAAUACUGACGCUGAAGUGCGAAAGCGUGGGGAGCCAAACAGGAUUAAAUACCCUGGUAGUCCCCGCCCUAAACGAUGAUAACUAGACGUUGGGGGAAUUYGMCCCUYURUGUCSCAACCUAACGCGUUAAUUUUCYCCCCUGGGG